GUUUUAAGCCACUUGAUUUUUCCACACUAUAAUAUAAAAUCGUACACGACGCAACACACUGUCUUUUACCAAAUUAUAUUUACUACUCGCCCAAUUCAAAACCCUAACCGGGGCUGUUGUCUUUCUCACCGAGCAUUGUGCAUCUAUUCCAUCGAAAAGGGAAAAUGAGUAGCCGAGCGAGCAGGACUCUCUAUGUUGGGAAUCUUCCUGGUGAUAUUCGCGAGAGAGAAGUAGAAGAUUUGUUUUACAAGUAUGGACCUAUUGCUCACAUUGAUCUCAAGAUCCCACCAAGGCCGCCCGGUUAUGCAUUUGUUGAGUUUGAAGAGGCUCGAGAUGCUGAGGAUGCAAUUCGUGGUCGUGAUGGCUAUGAUUUUGAUGGGCAUCGUUUACGGGUGGAGCUUGCACAUGGUGGCCGCGGACAUUCUUCCUCUGAUCGUCACAGUAGUUACAGUGGUGGUCGUGGACGAGGAGUCUCUAGGCGUUCUGAAUAUCGUGUUUUGGUCACUGGCUUACCCUCUUCUGCUUCAUGGCAAGAUCUUAAGGUCGAUAGAACUGCUUUCCCCUCAUUCACCAUAGAAAAUUGGCCAUCAUUGCUUAUUUUAGAUCACAUGCGCCAAGCAGGUGAUGUCUGUUUCUCUCAAGUUUUCCGCGAUGGUGGUGGCACCACAGGGAUUGUGGACUACACAAACUAUGAAGACAUGAAACAAGCGAUCAAGAAACUUGAUGACUCUGAAUUUCGGAAUGCAUUUUCCCGGGCAUAUGUUCGUGUGAAGGAAUAUGAUUCCAAGCGAGACUCUAGGAGUCCUAGUCGUGGUCGGUCUCGUUCAAGAGGCCGUAGUGACAGCCGUAGUCGCAGCCGCAGCCGCGGCCGAAGUUCUAGCCGGAGUAGGAGCCGGAGCAAAUCUCCCAAAACUAAGUCUACGCGUCGCUUGCCUGCGAGGUCAAGAUCAAGGUCUGCUUCUCGUUCUCGUUCUGGAUCAAAGCCACAUUCUCUGUCAAGUGAACUGGGGAUUGGAUAAUAGGAUCUUGAUGGGAUAUGGUUCAGUUUCUGCAUCUUUUUUGGUUGUUGGAGGUAUGCUGUUUUUCGGAUGGGCAGCUUUGGAAACCUUCAUGGUGUCUCUUAUCUAAUGUAUUUAGCAUUAUAAAUGUCCAUGGGUGCUAGAUGGGGACAAUGGAGAUUAUGGAUUGCAGUAGUACAGCUGGAUUUCAGUGAACUAACUGCUAGUGGAUCUGGAAGUCACCAGCAAUGUGCGGUAGAAACUAUGUCAUUUUCAUUUUCUACUCCAACAAUUGCCAAGCUAAUAGGAUCUGCUAGAUGGACUCACUGUGGAUUUUGUGGUACAGUAGGGAAGCAUGAUUCUUUUCUGUCCAGCUGGGUCUUAAAAACACAUUAUGAUUCUUUAGUUGAGAUUUUCUUUUUUUAAAAAAAGUUAGGUGUUCUAUUGGGGCGGGAAUUUUAUGAAAUGGGCGUGAUAUAUAUUUUUUUGGUUUUCUCUUGAGUUGCUAAACAUUUAUGGCUUUUCUUUUUAUCUUUUUUGAAUUUGGUAACUCUGACGUGGAAGAGGCAUCAAGGCUCUUGGAUGAGAGUUGUUAAAAGGAACGUGUGGAUUUUAAAUUUGGGUUGUUUCUGGAACUUUUGCAGAUCGCGUUCAAGAUCAAGAUCUCCAAUUCCAUCUCGUCAGAAACGCACAAGUAAGAGUCCGAAAAAACGGAGUGCUAGCCGAAGUCCAAGUGGGAGCAGAAGCAGGAGCAAGAGCUUAUCCAGGUGACGUGAUCGUGGCUGAUCACUGGAGACCGGAAGCUUAAAAUGAGCAUGAUUUUAAAACAUCAAAUGACAAAUAGUUGAAAUUGAUGAUUGCUUGAGGCAGUCAAGUUCUGGGCAACACUUACUUAUUUUCCAAGACUGUUGGGAUUCUUGUGGCUUUAAUAUUUGUAGGCUUGAUUUGGUUUGUGUUAAACUCGAUAAAUUAUUAUUUUGAUGGAUAUACACUCCAUAAAAAGAGGCCGCCGCUUUUGAUUCGUGAUGCUA